UUAAGCGACUAAGCGUACACGGUGGAUGCCUAGGCAGUCAGAGGCGAUGAAGGGCGUGCUAAUCUGCGAUAAGCGUCGGUAAGCUGAUAUGAAGCGUUAUACCCGACGAUACCCGAAUGGGGAAACCCAGUGUGUUUCGACACACUAUCAUUACGUGAAUACAUAGCGUAAUGAGGCGAACCGGGGGAACUGAAACAUCUCAGUACCCCGAGGAAAAGAAAUCAACCGAGAUUCCCCUAGUAGCGGCGAGCGAACGGGGAGGAGCCCAGAACCUGAAUCAGUUUGUGUGUUAGUGGAAGCGUCUGGAAAGUCGCACAGUAAAGGGUGAUAGUCCCGUACACAAAAAUGCACAAAUUGUGAGUUCGAUGAGUAGGGCGGGACACGUGACAUCCUGUCUGAAUAUGGGGGGACCAUCCUCCAAGGCUAAAUACUCCUGACUGACCGAUAGUGAACCAGUACCGUGAGGGAAAGGCGAAAAGAACCCCGGCGAGGGGAGUGAAAUAGAACCUGAAACCGUGUACGUACAAGCAGUGGGAGCCUUGAUUAAUCAGGGUGACUGCGUACCUUUUGUAUAAUGGGUCAGCGACUUAUAUUCUGUAGCAAGGUUAACCGUAUAGGGGAGCCGUAGGGAAACCGAGUCUUAACUGGGCGUUAAGUUGCAGGGUAUAGACCCGAAACCCGGUGAUCUAGCCAUGGGCAGGUUGAAGGUUGGGUAACACUAACUGGAGGACCGAACCGACUAAUGUUGAAAAAUUAGCGGAUGACUUGUGGCUGGGGGUGAAAGGCCAAUCAAACCGGGAGAUAGCUGGUUCUCCCCGAAAGCUAUUUAGGUAGCGCCUCGUGAAUUCAUCUUCGGGGGUAGAGCACUGUUUCGGCUAGGGGGUCAUCCCGACUUACCAACCCGAUGCAAACUACGAAUACCGAAGAAUGUUAUCACGGGAGACACACGGCGGGUGCUAACGUUCGUCGUGAAGAGGGAAACAACCCAGACCGCCAGCUAAGGUCCCAAAGUCAUGGUUAAGUGGGAAACGAUGUGGGAAGGCACAGACAGCCAGGAUGUUGGCUUAGAAGCAGCCAUCAUUUAAAGAAAGCGUAAUAGCUCACUGGUCGAGUCGGCCUGCGCGGAAGAUGUAACGGGGCUAAACCAUGCACCGAAGCUGCGGCAGCGACACUUAGGUGUUGUUGGGUAGGGGAGCGUUCUGUAAGCCGUCGAAGGUGGCCUGUGAGGGUUGCUGGAGGUAUCAGAAGUGCGAAUGCUGACAUAAGUAACGAUAAUGCGGGUGAAAAACCCGCACGCCGGAAGACCAAGGGUUCCUGUCCAACGUUAAUCGGGGCAGGGUGAGUCGACCCCUAAGGCGAGGCUGAAAAGCGUAGUCGAUGGGAAACAGGUUAAUAUUCCUGUACUCGGUGUUACUGCGAAGGGGGGACGGAGAAAGCUAGGUUAUCCGGGCGACGGUUGUCCCGGUUUAAGCGUGAAGGUGGAUGACUUUGGUAAAUCCGGGUCGUCAUUAACACUGAGGCGUGAUGACGAGUCACUACGGUGAUGAAGUAACCAAUGCUACGCUUCCAGGAAAAGCCUCUAAGCUCCAGGUAACAUCAAAUCGUACCCCAAACCGACACAGGUGGUCAGGUAGAGAAUACUCAGGCGCUUGAGAGAACUCGGGUGAAGGAACUAGGCAAAAUGGUGCCGUAACUUCGGGAGAAGGCACGCUGAUGGUAGGUGAAGUGACUUGCUCACGGAGCUGAAAUCAGUCGAAGAUACCAGCUGGCUGCAACUGUUUAAUAAAAACACAGCACUGUGCAAACACGAAAGUGGACGUAUACGGUGUGACGCCUGCCCGGUGCCGGAAGGUUAAUUGAUGGGGUCAGCCGCAAGGCGAAGCUCUUGAUCGAAGCCCCGGUAAACGGCGGCCGUAACUAUAACGGUCCUAAGGUAGCGAAAUUCCUUGUCGGGUAAGUUCCGACCUGCACGAAUGGCGUAAUGAUGGCCAGGCUGUCUCCACCCGAGACUCAGUGAAAUUGAACUCGCUGUGAAGAUGCAGUGUACCCGCGGCAAGACGGAAAGACCCCGUGAACCUUUACUAUAGCUUGACACUGAACCUUGAGCCUUGAUGUGUAGGAUAGGUGGGAGGCUUUGAAGCGUGGACGCCAGUCUGCGUGGAGCCAACCUUGAAAUACCACCCUUUAAUGUUUGAUGUUCUAACGUGGGCCCGUGAUCCGGGUUGCGGACAGUGUCUGGUGGGUAGUUUGACUGGGGCGGUCUCCUCCCAAAGCGUAACGGAGGAGCACGAAGGUUAGCUAAUCCUGGUCGGACAUCAGGAGGUUAGUGCAAAGGCAUAAGCUAGCUUGACUGCGAGAGUGACAGCUCGAGCAGGUGCGAAAGCAGGUCUUAGUGAUCCGGUGGUUCUGAAUGGAAGGGCCAUCGCUCAACGGAUAAAAGGUACUCCGGGGAUAACAGGCUGAUACCGCCCAAGAGUUCAUAUCGACGGCGGUGUUUGGCACCUCGAUGUCGGCUCAUCACAUCCUGGGGCUGAAGUAGGUCCCAAGGGUAUGGCUGUUCGCCAUUUAAAGUGGUACGCGAGCUGGGUUUAGAACGUCGUGAGACAGUUCGGUCCCUAUCUGCCGUGGGCGUUGGAAGAUUGAGAGGGGUUGCUCCUAGUACGAGAGGACCGGAGUGAACGCACCACUGGUGUUCGGGUUGUGAUGCCAAUUGCAUUGCCCGGUAGCUAAGUGCGGAAGAGAUAACCGCUGAAAGCAUCUAAGCGGGAAACUUGCCUCGAGAUGAGUCUUCCCUGGGCACUAGAUGCCCCUGAAGGGCCGUUGAAGACUACGACGUAGAUAGGCUGGGUGUGUAAGCGUAGCGAUACGUUGAGCUAACCAGUACUAAUGACCCGAGAGGCUUAACCU
rnacentral:rRNA from 2 species